rnacentral:rRNA from 1 species
UGAGUAAUCUUCCACAAUGGGGGCAACCCUGAUGGAGCGACGCCGCGUGGAGGAUAAGGUCUUCGGAUUGUAAACUCCUGUCAUGCGUGAACAAGGUUGCCUGGUUAAUACCUGGGCAAAUUGAUGGUAACGCACGAGGAAGAGACGGCUAACUCUGUGCCAGCAGCCGCGGUAAUACAGAGGUCUCAAGCGUUGUUCGGAAUCACUGGGCGUAAAGGGUGCGUAGGUGGCGUGGUAAGUCAGAUGUGAACGCCCGGGGCUCAACCUCGGAACUGCAUCCGAUACUGCCAUGCUAGAGUACUGGAGAGGUGACUAGAAUUCUCGGUGUAGAAGUGAAAUGCGUAGAUAUCGGGGGGAAGACCAAAGGCGUAGGCAGGUCACUGGAAAGUUACUGCCACUGAGGCACGAAGGCCUGGGGAGCAAACG